UCACGUCUUAUUGACGUCUCUUGCAAACCAAAAUGUCACAAGUACAAAUCUCAAAACAAUAUGACGUGAUAGUAAUCUAAUCUGACGUUGGGGUGCUGGACCAGGACUGAUUUCGAGUCAUCUAAAUCUUUGUACUAAGUUAAAUUAUAGAGAAUUAAUUGGUUCAAUCCUCUAACUUAGAAGCUCGAAUCAUCGUGUUUUCCUUCAAGAAGUAUGAGGCAAAAGUGACUGAAGAUUUUUAAGAGGCCCCUUGUAUACGGUUUAUCAAAUAGGAAACCGGAAACGUCAUAAAUACAAUUUCCCCAAUAGUUUUUAGUUAUUGAUUAUUCAAUAAAUGAAUUUGAACUGCAA